UUGUGAUUAGUGAGAGUUAAUAAUCGCGUGUGUAUCGAAAAGAUUUGUUUAAAAUUUAAAAUAUAGCAUUGUAUAUACGAUUUUGUCAAUUUGCGACCAAUUACAGAUUUCUUGCAAAAGUGAAAUAUUAAUAGUAAUAAAAUUUUGGAAGUUACAAGUUGCAAACUAACCACAAAUUCUAUUGCGCGGGAGAAUGCCAUGCACGAAACAUCGGGCGUAUUUUCGAUUCGAACCAAACAUUUUCUCACUGCUUGUUUUCACUUUUAAUAACUACAAGCGACAAGCGAAAUCCCUCUCUUUCGGCAGGAGAUCGUUAGUCUUCGUUUGAAAGCAUCGGCGCCAAUUAGAGCGAAUUAUUGCGCGAAGAUUUACGCGUUGGAGAAAACAUUUUGCCGAUGGAGAGAUUCUUUUGUACGAAAAAUUGUAUAGUAGAAAAUAUUUCCAACUUUGCUCCUACUAACUUAUUAUUAAAAGAGCGAAAGAGUGAAAAUUGGAAAAAUUGCGAGAAAAAUAGCGGUGAAACAAACUUGAAAGAAAGAAUGUUUCUCUCUUGUACUCCGCGAAUUACUUUGAAAUCACUUCUGAAUUGUAAGAAGUAAUUGGAUCUAUAUAAUAACCGACAAAAAAAGAGAAUUAUUCUAAGAAGAAUGAAUAAAAAGCAACGAUAAAUAAAGAAAGAAAAAAGUAUCUUAAUCCAGACAAGAGACAAUUUAAAUUCAUACAUGAUCUAUUUCUAUUCUAUUCUCAUAUUUUACAUGCACGAUAAAUCCAUUUACCUUUUACAUAAUCCCUUAUUUCAAAAAGGAAGAAGAGGAAGCUUUUGAUGAGAAGACAAAAGAGAAGAAAAUUCCGAGGAAGCGAGGCGAUUCUCCCUGAAUCGAAACGCAUUAAGAAAAUGAAAGAGAAAAAGGCCGCGAAUCUAACACGGCCUCUGAUAAUGACCGUGAUUGCUUAAUUAGCUGCCAGUGGAGCAAAGUGAGUGCACGGGCAAACAGAAUCCUCCCUUGCUCCGUAGGAACUACGGCUGGCUAGUCGUUCUAACCAGGCGAGCAAGUCCAAGGUUGUCGAGGCUCUGAUGCAACGCGAGCCAUCAUCAUCAUCGGCCGUGGUCGCGCAAAGUGGGAGGUGGAUGGAGGUGGAACGGCGGUGGGGCAUUCGUGAUACGCGCUCCGUUCACCAGAGAAGCAAUUGAAGCUAUGGCAAGAGUUUUGAGGAAUCGAGUUAUGGUUCGAAUUUUGGAGUUUAAAUGGAGGAAACUUUGAAAUUUUUAUGGAUCAUCAAAAUGCGUAACGAUCAUCCCCUAUUGCAAUUUAAAUUGCGAAAAAU